GCCCGCCUCGUCCAGCCUCCCCGUUGACCGGUCGCACCUCGUGGCCCAGCUCCAGCCACUUCCGCACCGCACCAGGCCCGGAUCUGCCAGCUCUCUGAAGCCCAAUGUGAGCAGCCCAGUUGCACCAGAUUCGGCCUGUGUAGUUUUUUUUCCCAGAUCUGCGAAUUUAGCUUUUAUCCCAGGAUUUACUGUUUUGCAGAAAAGUCCCCCUAGUUCAUGCAUUUAAUAACUCACAAUUGGUGCAUCGGAUUAAAAUGUUUUAUAUAUGAAACUUGCUUAGAAUUUUGUCUAGAUUCAUAAUAUGCAACUUUCACCCAUGUUUAAAAUGUUUAAAAUGCUGUUUGAGUAAAUUUGCUCCUAUGCCAUGUUAAAAUGAUUUAAUUCAUAACUAAAUAACCGUAACUCCGAAUUUAAUAAACUUUAUAUGUAAAUGGGGUAGAAUUUUGCCUAGUUUAACAUGGUGGCAUAAUAUUGCAUGUUUAAUAACCAUAAAAUAUGGUUUAGGGCAGAACAGGACCAAACCUAAAAUAUGCACAUGAGGAGUUUCCAGAUUUGUUGUUCAUUGCUUCCGGCCUCAUUUAACCUUGACUAGAUAGGUAGUUUUCAUUUGCUUCACCCUCUUGCCAUGCUUAACAACAUUUAAUAUUGUUGGGUACAUAAACGGGAUCAAACUAAAUAACUUAUCGUGGUGUUUCGUCAAUAUGCAACUCGUUGCAUAUUGAGCUCCAUUUAAUUUGUAGGAUUGUUUGUGCACUUUGCCAUGCCAUGCCUCAUUAAACCGGACAUGCAUCAUACUUGUUUGCGCAUCAUGCCAUGUCUAUGUGAUGGUUGUUUACCAUGUUGUUUGCU
rnacentral:rRNA from 1 species